rnacentral:tRNA from 1 species
AAGUAUGCAGCUUUGUGGCCUUAGUUUUGCAAAAACUAGUGAGAAAAGAAUUGUUUCCAUACUUU